GACGAAGGAUGCAAGCGUUAUCCGGAUUCAUUGGGUUUAAAGGGAGCGUAGGUGGCCUUGUAAGUCAGUGGUGAAAUCCUGUCGCUUAACGAUAGAAUUGCCAUUGAUACUGCAGGGCUUGAGUACAGUUGCCGUUGGCGGAAUAUGACAUGUAGUGGUGAAAUACAUAGAUAUGUCAUAGAACACCGAUUGCGAAGGCAGCUGACGAAACUGUAACUGACACUGAGGCUCGAAAGUGUGGGAUCAAACAGG
rnacentral:rRNA from 1 species